rnacentral:tRNA from 5 species
GGGCUCAUAGCUUAGUUUGGUGGAGCGCCUGACUGAUAAUCAGGAGGUCGUGAGUUCAAAUCUCACUGGGCCCA